rnacentral:rRNA from 1 species
UACGUAGGUGGCAAGCGUUGUCCGGAUUUACUGGGCGUAAAGAGCGCGCAGGCGGUCGUUCAAGUCGCGUGUGAAAGCCCCCGGCUCAACUGGGGAGGGUCACGCGAUACUGAUCGACUCGAAGGCAGGAGAGGGUAGUGGAAUUCCCGGUGUAGUGGUGAAAUGCGUAGAUAUCGGGAGGAACACCGGUGGCGAAGGCGCCACUCUGGGCCGAAACUGACGCUGAGGAGCGAAAGCGUGGGUAGCAAACAGG